rnacentral:rRNA from 1 species
GAUGAACGCUGGCGGCGUGCCUAAUACAUGCAAGUCGAGCGAAUGGAUUAAGAGCUUGCUCUUAUGAAGUUAGCGGCGGACGGGUGAGUAACACGUGGGUAACCUGCCCAUAAGACUGGGAUAACUCCGGGAAACCGGGGCUAAUACCGGAUAAUAUUUUGAACUGCAUGGUUCAAAAUUGAAAGGCGGCUUCGGCUGUCACUUAUGGAUGGACCCGCGUCGCAUUAGCUAGUUGGUGAGGUAACGGCUCACCAAGGCAACGAUGCGUAGCCGACCUGAGAGGGUGAUCGGCCACACGGGGACUGAGACACGGCCCAGACUCCUACGGGAGGCAGCAGUAGGGAAUCUUCCGCAAUGGACGAAAGUCUGACGGAGCAACGCCGCGUGAGUGAUGAGGGCUUUCGGGUCGUAAAACUCUGUUGUUAGGGAAGAACAAGUGCUAGUUGAAUAAGCUGGCACCUUGACGGUACCUAACCAGAAAGCCACGGCUAACUACGUGCCAGCCGCCGCGGUAA